rnacentral:rRNA from 1 species
GACGAACGCUGGCGGCGUGCUUAACACAUGCAAGUCGAACGGAAAGGCCCCUUCGGGGGUACUCGAGUGGCGAACAGGUGAGUAACACGUGAGUAACCUGCCCUUGACUUCGGGAUAACUUCAGGAAACUGGGGCUAAUACCGGAUAGGAAUCCUUGCUGCAUGGUGGGGGUUGGAAAGCUUCGGCGGUUUUGGAUGGACUCGCGGCUUAUCAGCUUGUUGGUGGGGUAGUGGCUUACCAAGGCUUUGACGGGUAGCCGGCCUGAGAGGGCGACCGGCCACAUUGGGACUGAGAUACGGCCCAGAAUCCUACGGGAGGCAGCAGUGGGGAAUAUUGCACAAUGGGCGGAAGCCUGAUGCAGCAACGCCGCGUGCGGGAUGACGGCCUUCGGGUUGUAAAACGCUUUCAGCAGGGGAGAAGCUUGUGGUGACGGUACCUGCAGAAGAAGCACCGGCUAACUACGUG